UACGUAGGGUGCAAGCGUUGUCCGGAAUUAUUGGGCGUAAAGAGCUCGUAGGCGGUUUGUCGCGUCUGCUGUGAAAUCUCAGGGCUUAACCCUGAGCUUGCAGUGGGUACGGGCAGACUUGAGUUCGGUAGGGGAGUGGGGAAUUCCUAGUGUAGCGGUGAAAUGCGCAGAUAUUAGGAGGAACACCGGUGGCGAAGGCGCCACUCUGGGCCGAAACUGACGCUGAGGAGCGAAAGCAUGGGGAGCAAACAGG
rnacentral:rRNA from 1 species